UACGUAGGGUGCAAACGUUGUUCGGAAUCACUGGGCAUAAAGGGCGCGUAGGCGGUUUGAUAAGUCCUGUGUGAAAGCCCCCGGCUUAACCGGGGAACUGCACUGGAUACUGUCGAGCUAGAGUGUAGAAGAGGAGAGCGGAAUUCCUGGUGGAGCGGUGAAAUGCGUAGAUAUCAGGAGGAACGCCAGUGGCGAAAGCGGCUCUCUGGUCUACUACUGACGCUGAGGCGCGAAAGCUAGGGGAGCAAACGGG
rnacentral:rRNA from 1 species